rnacentral:RNase_P_RNA from 18 species
AGGGGCGGGUCAGCUGCUCACGCCCCCUACUCUAGGAGAGGGGGUGAGGAAACUCCGCACACCCCGCGGCUCCACGGCCCCGAAACGGGGCGCGGCGAGUAGCCGCGGCUCCGGCACAGAAACGACACGGCCACCGCUCGGAUGGCGAUGAAGCGGUGAGGAGCCCCCGGCAACGGGGGCUCAGCAACCCGUUGAGGACGGCGGUGGAUGCGUUGAAACGGCCGGUCCCGUGGGGUGCAAGGCCCCCCUAAUUAUUAGGGGGGAUGAGGUGGCCGCGCAACCCCCUGUUGGGGGCCGCAUAGUCUAAUGCAGCUUGUACAGAAUGCGGGUUAUGGCCCGCCCCU